rnacentral:hammerhead_ribozyme from 1 species
AUCCAGCUAACGAGUCCCAAAUAGGACGAUACGCGCGUUCUGGAU